GCAUUGGUGGUUCAGGGGUAGCAUUCUUGCCCUCCACGCAGAAGACCCAGGUUUGAUUCCUGGCUAAGGCG
rnacentral:tRNA from 1 species